rnacentral:lncRNA from 1 species
UGCUUAGACUCUUCGCACAAGAAAGGUAAAUGAAGUCCUCGAAAAAGUUUUGGCAGACAUGAUCGGGCUACAGGUCGGCGUGAGACAACUCAAGUUCAAACGGUGAGAAACCGUAUUCCUCUUCUUGUGCAAAGUACUCCUCAGCAGGGAUAACAGCUGCGCGAUCACGUGCACAUGAAUAUCAGGAUGCAACCCUAAACAUCAUUUGGAAGUGUAGAGAUUGAAUAAACUUUAGUACCAAGCGGCGAAGUUGUGUCAACGGAUGCAAUACAUAUCCUCUUGUUACUUAUCGGCGUGCAAGUUGAAAUUGAAGUAGUAGUUGGACUAACCAACCCCGAAGAGCUAUGCCCAACAAUUUGAUGCGGUAACGUGU